CCUACGGGAGGCUGCAGUGGGGAAUAUUGGACAAUGGGGGGAACCCUGAUCCAGCCAUGCCGCGUGUGUGAAGAAGGCCCUCGGGUUGUAAAGCACUUUCAGUGAGGAAGAACGCCUGGUGGUUAAUACCCAUCAGGAAAGACAUCACUCACAGAAGAAGCACCGGCUAACUCCGUGCUAGCAGCCGCGGUAAUACGGAGGGUGCGAGCGUUAAUCGGAAUUACUGGGCGUAAAGCGCGCGUAGGUGGCUUGAUAAGCCGGUUGUGAAAGCCCCGGGCUCAACCUGGGAACGGCAUCCGGAACUGUCAAGCUAGAGUGCAGGAGAGGAAGGUAGAAUUCCCGGUGUAGCGGUGAAAUGCGUAGAGAUCGGGAGGAAUACCAGUGGCGAAGGCGGCCUUCUGGACUGACACUGACACUGAGGUGCGAAAGCGUGGGUAGCAAACAGGAUUAGAUACCCCGGUAGUC
rnacentral:rRNA from 1 species